AUCAAAAAAUCAGACCGAAAACAUAUUCUUUUAUGCCAUUAUAAAUACAAUAUAUUAUUAUGAAAUACCCGACGUGGCAUGGAGAACACAGAUAAAUGUUCUUAGGCCUGAUCUGCUUGCAGUAAAGCUGAAAAAAGACCUUUUCCAAUUGUAAGACAAAGAGGUUCUGAUCGAUCGAUAUUUAUUCAUAAACUGACGAUGCAUAGUUUAACAUAUAUCUUACAAAAAUAAUGCAACAUUUCUUCCAGGUGAGCAUUUAUAAAUUUGCUUUAAAACAAAACACAGUAACUUUUCUUUGCUAAUAUAACCUCUGACCUUAACUGGUUAUUUUUGGAUAACUUAUUUCUCAAAAUGAAGAAAACCUCUGAAGGAUACACAUACAAGUGACAUACAGGUUUUUAUAUAGAACUACAAAGGAACAAUUUCCUUAUUUCUAUUUAAAAUAGAAACACAUUAGUAUACAGUGCUUACAUUUAUUAGACCCCCUGUCAUAAUAAAAAGAAAACACAGAUAUUCGACUGUCAAACACUUGUUUAAAACUAAAAUCUUGGUUUCUGUGAAGGCUUGACUUGACCUCAAAGACACCAUGUCAAGGACUUAGUUCAAAUAUAUCAACAUAAUAUCAAUAGUAUUAUUAUAUGAAAGGAGGUAAAGAGUUUUUUUUUUUUUUUUUUUCUUACUAAACUAAACUAAAGCAGUAGGGCGUGAUGGGCCAUCAACACCUGGCCAUGGGCUGCAGGAUGCUGAUUGGUUGUUUGAUCCGGGGCUGUUGGGUGCUGAGAUGCGAUUGGUUGUCUACCGCUUCAUCUGGACAUCAUUGUGAAAAGUUACCAACAGCUAUUUUUCAGUUUUAUCUGGAAAUCAGUCUAUUGCUUGUGACUGUGAAGACUUACAAGAGUUGUUUUCAGUAUCAUCUGGAGAAUUAUCUGUUCUUUGUGACCAGUAACAGCUUGUUUUGGAUAUUCAGCAUUUGAAAUGGCUUCUGAAAGGUAAGUACUUUCUAUCUAUUAUCUGACUACACCGCAUAGAAUGCUUUACUUAUUUAUUUAUUUUUUUUUUUUUCUUGUUUCCAGUCCAAGAAUCUAAAAAAAAUAUUAAACAAAGAAGCAUUUACUAGAUAAGUAAAAAGUAUUGUGUUGUUUUCUGAAGAAAAAAACAAUCAAAAUUAAGUGAGUUUUUGCUUGAAACAAGCUAAAUUAUCUGGACUGGAAACAAGAAGAAAAAAAAACUAAAGAAAAGCAUUUUUAAAGAAACACACACACACACACACACACUGUGUAGCUGUCUUGUUUUUAUUUGUUAAAAGAUCUUACUGUUAAACAAAAUUUGUGCAAAUUCAGUAAUGUCAUUUUGGGGAUAGUUGAGUCGGUGACACAAAGCUUUCAGGCCAGAGUGAAAAGAUACACAUUUGCACCUUGGCACUACAAUUUGUGUUUUAUUUUUAUAUUUUUGUGAUUGUUUUUGAAGAGUUGUGUCUGAUGUCUACAUGAUGCCUACUUGUUAUUUAGCACAUCUAUAUGCAUUAUUAAACCACUGUUGGUCUUCUUAUUGUUCGCACAGCUCUUUCCACAGCAGGAUCUACUUUCUCUGCUCUCACUGCAAGAAGGCUCCACGCUCCCUUCCUGGGCACCUCAGGACGGCGUGCAUGCGCGACCGCACAGAGGCAGAGAUACAGGCCACUGUGAUUGAAGCCAAGAAAGAGAUGUCUGAAUUUACCCACAAGGGACGUUUCUGGGAUUACCAGCGUAUUCGAGACAUCUUGGCAACUGCUGAUCCUCUUGCCAGGUGUGUAAAUUUUUGCUCCUUUGUCAUGUCCUGUUGCAGUGCAAUACUCAGUGUGUGUGUGUGUGUGUGUGUGUGUAUUCACUGUUAUGUAUUUUAUUUCCUUAGGUUGUUAGAGGAGAUGCAGAAGAAGGGCCUGGUUGUAAUGAACAUACCUCCAGUUCUCCCGGCCCCCCCGCUGCCUGCGCCCUCUCCAGCUACAUCUGCUCCUCAAAGCCCUGGAGAAGGUGCGGACGAGCCAGACGAGGAGCCAGACCGCGAGCCAUCGUCUGAGGAGAGCUCUGGAGAGUUCUAUCAGAGGUAAAGUUUCACAUCAUCAUUCUCAGAUAACAUGUGCAGCGAUUGGACAUGAUUUCUCUUGAACAUAUUCACAAUCAUUUGAGCACCUGGUUUAUUUUCUUUCAGCACUGAGGGACCGAGGUGGACCGAUGAAGUCAGGGUGGAGAUGUCAAAAAAGGGCCUGUACAAGAAACACUCCAUCGAUCACCCCCUCCUUCGGGGAUUUAAUCGAUAUUUGCGUGUUGACUUGGGCAACAAAAAGAGCAAACAAGAGGUAAGUGAAAGAAAAGAUACCUUUAAGUGUCACCCACACACUCACGCUUUCACACAGAAAAAUAAAGAAAUAAAUGUGAAGACAAAUGCUCUUCUGAACUGUGUGCUGCGGUCACAUGUUAACCUGUGUUAUAUUCAGCCCUGCAGAUUUUAAUGUGAAAUGUAUACUUACAGGUGGAAGAAGUCUCCAGGUUCAUGUAUUACGUGGACCCCAGUGAGCCGAACCUGAAUUUUGUGCGGGAGGUGGAGAAAGUGCGAGAGUACUUCAAUACACUGACCCAGACAAAGCUCUCGAAGCAGACGGUGCUGAACUACUGGAAGAGUCUCAAGAGGUCAGUACUGUGUAACGUAAACAUCUCAUCUGAAUUUCAACUAAUAUUUAUGGGAUGAUUAUUCGUCUUCUGACUGUAACAACCCUUCCUGUCUCUCUCUUCAAGGUUCAUGAGGUACAUUGUUACCAGCACCAGCAUCCGUGUCAAAGAUCCCAGCCUGUACAACGACUGCAAGAGCUUCACUGAUCCUCUGGAUGGCAUACGGGCUGGGAUGUCUAAGAAGGUCAACAAGGAGCAGACACAAAAAAGGUCAGUUUUUUUUUUUUUUUACUCUUUUUUUUUUUUUUUUUUAUCUAUUUAAUGGAAAGCACAGGUGAGUUCAAGUUCAACAUUACUAUUUUUUUUUUUUUCCCUCAGGUUCCGCGGCUACGGCAAGGAAAAAUUUCCGGCUGACUGCAUCACAAUCUUGGAUGCUGCUUAUACGGAUUUCCUGGCUGUCAUGGGCAAACUUCAGGGUCCAGGAGCCAUUUCAGGGGAGGAACUCAGCAAAAACGAACGUCUGCUUGUCCUCUAUUAUCUUGAGGCCAUAAUUAUGCUUAAACUUCUACAACGCCCAGGGGUUGUUACGAAUAUGACCGUAAGUGUAUUUUAGUAACAACAGCAUCUUUUAUUUUCCUUUACCCAUAUGCCUCCUGAUCUUGUGCUUCACAGAUGCGUGUACCUUUUGAGUGUUUGUGACGCCUGUCAUUGAAAGCACACAACUGUCUGUUUUCAGGUUGAGGAAUGGAAGGGGAGAACCCGGCAUCCAAACGGAGCUUCCGUGGCGGUGAAGGAGCAUAAAACGGCCGCGUCGCAAAUAGCAGAAGUACCGCUGACUGAUGACCAAGAACAUUGGUUUGGCCUGUACUUCGAUGAGAUUCGGCCGGUGAUGUUACAAGGUAAUAAGUCAGUGGACAAUGCAGCAGCAGAGCAGAGUUUUUUUGUUUCAAGUACUGGAAGGCCAAUUUAUAACCCCUGCAACGACUUGAAAAGAUUCCAUGCCAAAUACAACAUUCCCAGGGUGACCAGCAGCGACGCUCGGACAGCCUUUGAGACGGCUGCUAAAAAUCUGCCGGAGGUGCAGAGGAAUGCGGUGGCACGUCUCUUGGGACACACGCCGGAAACAGCAGAGAAGCAUUACCGGAUGAAAACUCCGGCAGAUGCAUUCCUGGCCAAGGUUGUGGUCGAUGAGCUCACUGCAAAAACACGAGGUGCGUCUAGUGGGGCUUCUGGCCAAGAGAAAAGGAUGGAUGAACAGACGGCGUUUGACUUGCUGGUUCAGUCCUGCCCAGUGACUCUUGACGGGCCUCCUCCGAAAAGGGCACGCAGACACGAACUGUGCGCUGAACACGAGAGGCACUGCUACGACCGCUGGCGCAGCGAGCAGCUCAAGCUGCGUGAACAGCGUGUCCUUGAAUAUUUCGGUCGGUGUCAGCUGUCUGAGUCACAAGUGGAGGCCUGGGUGGAGAAACAAGGAUGGACGUCUAACGUCCCACAGGCUUCCCUAAUACUCAAGAAAUACUCCAAGUAGCCUUGAACAGCUCCCCUGCGGCUCUGUGGGUUACAAAAAUAAAUGUGAGCGGGCUACUUCCAAGCCACAUUAUUUUUGUGCCUACUUUUCAGCCACAAAACACCACCUCUCUUGCUCUCCAAGUUGCCCUGAAUGACUCUGUCUCUUUUUUUAGUACUUUACUCAAAGAUAUGUGAGCGGGCUAAUUUCCAAGCCACAUAUCUCUUCUCUUUGUCUACUUUUUUGUUUUCAGCCACAAAACACCACCUCUCUUGCUCUCCAAGUUGCCCUGAAUGACUCUGUCUCUUUUUUUAGUACUUUACUCAAAGAUAUGUGAGCGGGCUAAUUUCCAAGCCACAUAUCUCUUCUCUUUGUCUACUUUUUUGUUUUCAGCCACAAAACACCACCUCUCUUGCUCUCCAAGUUGCCCUGAAUGACUCUGUCUCUUUUUUUAGUACUUUACUCAAAGAUAUGUGAGCGGGCUAAUUUCCAAGCCACAUAUCUCUUCUCUUUGUCUACUUUUUUGUUUUCAGCCACAAAACACCACCUCUCUUGCUCUCCAAGUUGCCCUGAAUGACUCUGUCUCUUUUUUUAGUACUUUACUCAAAGAUAUGUGAGCGGGCUAAUUUCCAAGCCACAUAUCUCUUCUCUUUGUCUACUUUUUUGUUUUCAGCCACAAAACACCACCUCUCUUGCUCUCCAAGUUGCCCUGAAUGACUCUGUCUCUUUUUUUAGUACUUUACUCAAAGAUAUGUGAGCGGGCUAAUUUCCAAGCCACAUAUCUCUUCUCUUUGUCUACUUUUUUGUUUUCAGCCACAAAACACCACCUCUCUUGCUCUCCAAGUUGCCCUGAAUGACUCUGUCUCUUUUUUUAGUACUUUACUCAAAGAUAUGUGAGCGGGCUAAUUUCCAAGCCACAUAUCUCUUCUCUUUGUCUACUUUUUUGUUUUCAGCCACAAAACACCACCUCUCUUGCUCUCCAAGUUGCCCUGAAUGACUCUGUCUCUUUUUUUAGUACUUUACUCAAAGAUAUGUGAGCGGGCUAAUUUCCAAGCCACAUAUCUCUUCUCUUUGUCUACUUUUUUGUUUUCAGCCACAAAACACCACCUCUCUUGCUCUCCAAGUUGCCCUGAAUGACUCUGUCUCUUUUUUUAGUACUUUACUCAAAGAUAUGUGAGCGGGCUAAUUUCCAAGCCACAUAUCUCUUCUCCUUGCCUACUUUUUUGUUUUCAGCCACAAAAAAGUAAAAAAAGACCACCAAUACAGAUUUUUUUUUCUUUCAAUAUUCAUAGGCAACUGGAAGUGCACCAGCUACAAAUAACCAAACAUCAGCAGCUCACUCGAGGACCACUACAUGAGGACUCCAGAGAAGAAGAAGAAGAAGACGAAGACGAAGAAGAAGGAGGAGGAGGAUUUGACAGAGGAAGGCGCACGCUGGAUCCAUACGCUGCAUCUCAUUUCGGAGACUGCGUCCUACGGAGGUCGCAUUUGAAGGCUGCAUACGUCAUCAAGGAUGUCUUAUUUAAGAAAAGUAAACGUAAUUAAACAAACUGUUAUUCCUCGUGAGACGUAAAAUACUAUAAUUUCUUUCUUACUUUGCAAUCUAACAGUUAAUUUUUUUUCAAAUGAGACCGCCUCGAUGACAUAUGCAGCCUUCAAAAGUGACCUUCGGAGGACACAGCCUUCAAAACAAGACAGCUAUAAUCAUUAUAUUCUUAUUCUGUACAUACAGAUGCUAUUAUAAUUUUUUGUUCAUGUUUUCAAUCUACGUUUGUCAUUUCUUCUUUUGUUGUUAAUGAUCUGUAUUUGUCAUUAUUCAAGUCUUAUUUGUUGCACUUUAUUAAUCGUGUACCUGUCAUAGGUAUUCAUGUUUAUAUCAGGCAACCAAAAGUUGCAGAGGUCAGAGUGUCAAAAUGCUCAAAGACAAACUAAUUUUGUUAAAACUCUAAUAGAAAGUUGACAUUUUUAUACUUGUAUUGAUUUUUCAUGUUUUUUUUCCUCUGUUGUGCA